GAUCCCUAACCCCUCCUCCUCCUCCUCCCUAACCCAAAUCCAACAAAUCCCUCUCCCUCUCUCUUCGUCGCUCGCUUUCAAAAGUGAUAACCCCUCCAGCCGCCGCACCCCCCUCUCCCCCCCCCCAACAAAUCCCUAACCCUCUCUAGAUUCAAGAAGCCAUCUCCUUCCCCGACCAAGUACUCCUCAAAUCCUCCUCUUCCCUCCCCAUUUCCGACCUCCUCUGCCUCUAUUACUCUUCCUCCCUCUCCAUCACCGUAGGCGGCAGCCUCAUCCUCGGUCCCCUCCUCUUUUCCCUGCUUCUCUUUGUGGCGUCGAGAAGCAGCGCAUAAAGAACGUCUUCAGCGAUGAUGCCUUCGCCCGCCUCUUUGCCGUCGUUGAGUCCGACAUCGACGAUGCCCUCCAGAAAUUGGAGAUGGCAGCCGGGGAGAAAAACAGGGCAGCGGCGGUGGCAAUGAAUGCCGAGAUCCGGCGCAUCAAGGCCCGGUUGAUGAAGGAGUUGCGCAUCUAGCCGGCCGGAUCUCCGGCGAACUCCACCUUCCUCACCGCUGUCCUCCUCGCUUGCUACGGAUGCGGUGGUUAAUUCAGAUCCAUGUCCUGCAGUGUUCUUCUCUCUGAGCUGUUUUUCUCCCUUCUAGUUGAUGCUGUUCAUCUUGGUUUUACCCACUAUAGUUGUCUUCCCUAUUAAGUAGUUGUAUCACAAUCACAGAAUUACUCUUCA